rnacentral:rRNA from 1 species
AUACGGAGGGAGCGAGCGUUAAUCGGAAUUACUGGGCGUAAAGCGCACGUAGGUGGCGUGGUAAGUCGGAUGUGAAAUCCCCGGGCUCAACCUGGGAAUUGCAUUCGAUACUGCCAUACUAGAGUCUAGCAGAGGGAUGCGGAAUUCCGGGUGUAGCGGUGAAAUGCGUAGAGAUCCGGAGGAACAUCAGUGGCGAAGGCGGCAUCCUGGGCUAAGACUGACACUGAGGUGCGAAAGCGUGGGGAGCAAACAGGAUUAGAAACCCCAGUAGUCC